ensembl:lncRNA
GGUAACCCGAAAGAGAGAGAAAGUAAACCUCCACCUCAGAAGUCAUCCAGGUUAAAUAACCUUUUAACAUUGAAUGAGAUAAAGAACAAAUUAAAAAAGAUAAAUAGAAAUUUUAAAAAGAAGUGAGAGAGAAUCUCUCUUGACACAAAACAGAGCACCGCUGCUCUUCUUGUGUGUGAGUAUUUAAAAGGGUCUAAAUGCAUGUUUUUUUUUUUUCUUACUGAGUACCUGUGUGGUGUUACACCACUAAUCCUGAAACCAGGGCUCAAGCUUGAAAGGAAUAUGCGUUUGCCUUUUAAGGAAAUGCAACCUGGAUCAGUGGUUAGCUUAGCCUAGCAUAACGACUGGAGAAUGACAAUAAACCUGUUUGUUGUUUAUUUAAUCCAGACAAAACACGUGUUUUGUGGGUAGAAUAUGUCCUAGCCUGGUGCUGUUUCAGCAAAGAAUAAUUUGACAUUUAAAAAAAACAAAAGAUUUAAAAUUAAUCUACAUAUUCUGAAAAGAGACAGAAGGUUUUAUUUUAUUUUUGCAGAUGCCACCAGUGUGUCUGACUUGGCUCUGUUAAACUAACAAUACUGAAACAGAGCUCAUCAUUCAAACGUCUAAAAGCAUCUGAAACCAGAAGUAAUAAAAUGUCUGCAUAAAGCACGAGACUGUGGACCUCCCCACCACUAAAAAAACACACAUCAGUUUCCUGUUUAAUAAUUACAUACAACAACAGAGGAGGUAGAGACUUGUUAGAUGAUGGUGUAAUCUGUCAGUCGAAGGUCAGGCCGAUGGCCGGGUCAGAUCUAGUUAUCCUCUGGUGACCCUUGAAUGAAGGCGGUCAUUUAUGCUGUUCAGACUUUGGGAGAUUUUCCAGAGGUUCAUUUGGAUAAAGUCCAGACUGCUUGAAUAAUGAAGGUUUGUGCCUUAAACCUAUCAAUGCUGGCAGAUACACCACUACCAGUACGCCUAUCUUUAUAAUAUCAGCUGUGUAGAUGUACCAGUUUAUCUCCGUUGUUUACCUUUAACUUUUUUUAAUACUUUAAGUGUAAACAUUGAUUUAUUUCUGUUUUGUGGUGCAAUAUUCUGAUUUUGAUUCUGACACAACACUCUUCAAAAGUAGAUUUUUUAAACAUUUUAAACACUAAAAAUAAGCUUUACAUAAAAAGGAUUACACACUGACAUGUGCAGAGGAGGGAUAAUGGAUAUACUGGACAUGCUUAAUAUGAAGGGGUAAAAGAGGAAGACCAGGAUGUCGUGACGGAGGACAUGCAGAGGGUCGGUGUGACAGAGGGGGAUGAUAAGGACAGGGAGGACAAUGAGACUAACUGAAAAUACCAUGACUCUGAAUUUAAUAGUUAAUGAAACGUUUUUAUUGUCAACUCAGUUGACUGACAUCUCUUAAUCGUUAGUUUUGAUGGUCGCACCACCAUUGUUUAAUAUUUUCACACAUCAGUAUUUGCUCUGGAUCAUAAUGGCUCACUGAAAUGCAAAGUAUGUGAAUGUAUAAACCAGUGAAUAAAAAACAAGCACUGUGC